rnacentral:rRNA from 1 species
AUUGAACGCUGGCGGCAUGGCUAAAACAUGCAAGUCGAACGUGCCCGCAAGGGCAAGUGGCGAAAGGGUCAGUAACGCGAUCGAAUGUACCUAUGGGUUGAGGAUAGCCGUGGGAAACUGCGGGUAAUACUCGAUGAUGUCUCCGGACCAAAGAUUUAUCGCCCUAAGAGCAGCGAUCGUCCUAUCAGGUAGUUGGCGGGGUAAAGGCCCACCAAGCCUAAGACGGGUAGCAGGUGUGAGAGCACGACCUGCGACAUCGGGACUGAGACACUGCCCGGACUCCUACGGGAGGCUGCAGUAACGAAUCUUCCGCAAUGGGCGCAAGCCUGACGGAGCAAUGCCGCGUGUGGGAUGAAGCGGCUACGCCGUGUAAACCACUGUCAGGGACUAGAACCAAUGAUCAGUCCCAAAGGAAGAGCCGGCUAACCCUGUGCCAGCAGCCGCGGUAAGGUGCGCGAGU